UACAGAGGGGGCAAGCGUUAUUCGGAAUUAUUGGGCGUAAAGGGCGCGUAGGCGGCCUUUCAAGUGACGGGUGAAAUCCCUCGGCUUAACCGAGGAACUGCCUGUCAGACUGGGAGGCUUGAGACCGGGAGAGGUGAGUGGAAUUCCCAGUGUAGCGGUGAAAUGCGCAGAUAUCAGGAGGAACACCGGUGGCGAAGGCGGGUCUCUGGGCCGAUACUGACGCUGAGGAGCGAAAGCGUGGGGAGCGAACAGG
rnacentral:rRNA from 1 species